UGAUUCCUGGAAUGUGCGAUACCCCUGUUAUUUUGAACCUACAUUUACGUUUAUGGGAUUCCUACAUUGCCAAUUGGAUGUCAGGCCGUCGUUUGCAACGGAAGACAGAAGAGCGGUUGCGGUUACCCACCUAGCAUUGGCUAGGCGUCAAAAUCACAGGAAACGGCAUUUUGGGUAAAUU
rnacentral:other from 2 species